AGAGUCUGUCAUUGGCUUGUCGUGGGUUAAACAUACGAGGAUCUCGAAAUGUACUGGAAGCGCCUUAUUCUGGUGGUUUUAGCCGCUUCGCUUGUGUAUGCCAAGAGACUUGACAAGGACGAUUCAGGUUAUAACGAUAGAAAAGCACGAUUUGGUAUCUGCAGCCAAAGACCUAUGUAUGGCAAUUGCAGUGGACACCGUAAACUAUGGUACUAUGAUGUCAUCGGGAAAAUAUGCGCCCAGUUCAUCUAUUCGAACUGUGGCGGCAAUCAAAAUCGUUUCUACAGCAUGGGGGAAUGCAUGAAUUUUUGUGUAGGCAAGGAUAUGUAAAUAUGAUUUAUAGAAUUAAGAUGGAAUUCAAAUAAAACGGAUCUCUAAGUGUGUAAUAAAAAACAGUCGUCCAACUUUUCAAAUGUGUACGGUAAACACUAAUUACAAAAAUAUCUGUCCAAGGAUUGGGAGAAUUCGAACAAAAGUCUUGAAAUUGUAGCUAACAAAUUUUGUUGGAAUUAUUGAACUAGUUCUUUGUUCCCUUUUUUAGCCAUCACUCAUUUCAAUUAGCCGGGCGCACUGUUCUAAGAAAAAUGUACUUAUAAAUACCACAACAUCUGUUGCAAAUCAGUUCAGUCGACAUUCUGACCUUCUAGGGGAAAAUAUAAAAUAUGAGAUAUCCUCGAGCUUCAAUUGGACUGCUGAUCGUGCUGGUUCAAUAUUCCUUGGCCCCUGAUCCGUUACAGAAGAGGAUUUGUGCAAUGCGUGCCGAAUAUGGAAGAUGCGACGGGCAUACCUUGGUCUGGGCCUACGAUAAAAAUAAUAAUGAAUGCGUUGAAUUCGCUUACUCUACCUGUGGUGGCAAUCGGAAUCGUUUUUCUACUUAUGUAGAGUGUAUGCUAGCUUGUGCUGUUUUCGAAAAAAAUGAUGAAUAUCAAGACACAUUUACAAUGAGAAUAUACACAUAAAGAGGCAUGCUAGUGCAGCAGAAAAACUAUAACGAACCAUACAA